GAGGCGGGUUAAAACUGGAGAUAGGUUAUAUAUAAUACUGGCCAAGGCUAUAAGUCAAACUGUAGGCUAGAACAACAGUUUUAGAUUGUCUCUGCGUGCGCUCUCAGCUCAAAGGUGUGUUUUCCUGCGCACUGUAGCCUACCUUGUUAAUGCCACAGUAUUGUGCAGAAGAGGCUAGGGGUGAUAGGCAGCAGAGCAUAGAAAAUGUGCUUCUAAUGUUGUCAAAAACUCAAAUGUUCGUUCCUGUCCAAUUCGCUUUCACGGUUCAAGAGAUGGGCCUUUUACGUCGCAAUUCUGUAACACAAGGAGCAAAGCGCAACUCGGAGGAACUUUUCUAUUCCAAAGUUAGCCCAUAUGAGAGAAUUUCCCUCACUGCUCUGAGAAGUUGGAGAGAAGGGGGUGCAAAUGUGUCAAGUAACGGGAUGUCUAAAUGGAGUGACCGCAUAAGUCAGCGUCUCUGUGCUCCUCCAAAUCCCCCGGGUUCCGCUGCUACCCACCCCAGCCAAAUGACACCCCGCUGGGGCUACAGCAGAGGUCUCUCCCCGAACAGACGGCUCUACAUCCACAGAGGUGUUCAUGGAAUGCAUAGGUCUAAUUGGGCUCCUGAGUGGCACAGCGGUCAAAGGCACUGCAUCUCAGUGCUUGAGGCGUCACUACAGCCACCCAGGUUCGAUUCCAGGCUGUAUCACAUCUGGCCGUGAUUGGGAGUCCUAUAGCAUCGUCCGGGGUAGACCUUCAUUGUGAAUAGGAAUUUGUUCUUAACUGACUUGCCUAGUUAAAUAAAGGUUAAAAAAAAUGCAUC